rnacentral:rRNA from 1 species
GAAGGUGGCCUGUGAGGGUUGCUGGAGGUAUCAGAAGUGCGAAUGCUGACAUAAGUAACGAUAAAGCGGGUGAAAAGCCCGCUCGCCGGAAGACCAAGGGUUCCUGUCCAACGUUAAUCGGGGCAGGGUGAGUCGACCCCUAAGGCGAGGCCGAAAGGCGUAGUCGAUGGGAAACGGGUUAAUAUUCCCGUACUUGGUGUUACUGCGAAGGGGGGACGGAGAAGGCUAUGUUGGCCGGGCGACGGUUGUCCCGGUUUAAGCGUGUAGGUGUGUGUUCCAGGUAAAUCCGGUUCACUUUAACACUGAGGCGUGACGACGAGGCACUACGGUGCUGAAGCAACAAAUGCCCUGCUUCCAGGAAAAGCCUCUAAGCAUCAGGUAACAUCAAAUCGUACCCCAAACCGACACAGGUGGUCAGGUAGAGAAUACCAAGGCGCUUGAGAGAACUCGGGUGAAGGAACUAGGCAAAAUGGUGCCGUAACUUCGGGAGAAGGCACGCUGACAUGUAGGUGAAGUGAUUUACUCAUGGAGCUGAAGUCAGUCGAAGAUACCAGCUGGCUGCAACUGUUUAUUAAAAACACAGCACUGUGCAAACACGAAAGUGGACGUAUACGGUGUGACGCCUGCCCGGUGCCGGAAGGUUAAUUGAUGGGGUCAGCGCAAGCGAAGCUCCUGAUCGAAGCCCCGGUAAACGGCGGCCGUAACUAUAACGGUCCUAAGGUAGCGAAAUUCCUUGUCGGGUAAGUUCCGACCUGCACGAAUGGCGUAAUGAUGGCCAGGCUGUCUCCACCCGAGACUCAGUGAAAUUGAACUCGCUGUGAAGAUGCAGUGUACCCGCGGCAAGACGGAAAGACCCCGUGAACCUUUACUAUAGCUUGACACUGAACAUUGAGCCUUGAUGUGUAGGAUAGGUGGGAGGCUUUGAAGUGUGGACGCCAGUCUGCAUGGAGCCGACCUUGAAAUACCACCCUUUAAUGUUUGAUGUUCUAACGUGGACCCGUUAUCCGGGUUGCGGACAGUGUCUGGUGGGUAGUUUGACUGGGGCGGUCUCCUCCUAAAGAGUAACGGAGGAGCACGAAGGUUGGCUAAUCCUGGUCGGACAUCAGGAGGUUAGUGCAAUGGCAUAAGCCAGCUUGACUGCGAGCGUGACGGCGCGAGCAGGUGCGAAAGCAGGUCAUAGUGAUCCGGUGGUUCUGAAUGGAAGGGCCAUCGCUCAACGGAUAAAAGGUACUCCGGGGAUAACAGGCUGAUACCGCCCAAGAGUUCAUAUCGACGGCGGUGUUUGGCACCUCGAUGUCGGCUCAUCACAUCCUGGGGCUGAAGUAGGUCCCAAGGGUAUGGCUGUUCGCCAUUUAAAGUGGUACGCGAGCUGGGUUUAGAACGUCGUGAGACAGUUCGGUCCCUAUCUGCCGUGGGCGCUGGAGAACUGAGGGGGGCUGCUCCUAGUACGAGAGGACCGGAGUGGACGCAUCACUGGUGUUCGGGUUGUCAUGCCAAUGGCACUGCCCGGUAGCUAAAUGCGGAAGAGAUAAGUGCUGAAAGCAUCUAAGCACGAAACUUGCCCCGAGAUGAGUUCUCCCUGAGACUUAG